rnacentral:rRNA from 1 species
UAGGGAAUCUUCCACAAUGGGCGAAGCCUGAUGGAGCAACGCCGCGUGUGUGAUGAAGGCUUUCGGGUCGUAAAGCACUGUUGUAUGGGAAGAACAGCUAGAAUAGGAAAUGAUUUUUAGUUUGACGGUACCAUGCCAGAAAGGGACGGCUAAAUACGUGCCAA